CUCAGAGUACCCUUUGCUGAACACAGCUUCCCCUGAAGAACAGAACAGUCCUGCAGAUGCCGUUCUAGGUAACGACAAUGAAAACACUGCAGACUUGAAGAAAGAAAAUACA